CCUGGCUCAGGACGAACGCUGGCGGCGCGCCUAACACAUGCAAGUCGAACGAGAGAGAGGGAGCUUGCUUCCUCAAUCGAGUGGCGAACGGGUGAGUAACGCGUGAGGAACCUGCCUCAAAGAGGGGGACAACAGUUGGAAACGACUGCUAAUACCGCAUAAGCCCACGGGUCGGCAUCGACCAGAGGGAAAAGGAGCAAUCCGCUUUGAGAUGGCCUCGCGUCCGAUUAGCUAGUUGGUGAGGUAACGGCCCACCAAGGCAACGAUCGGUAGCCGGACUGAGAGGUUGAACGGCCACAUUGGGACUGAGACACGGCCCAGACUCCUACGGGAGGCAGCAGUGGGGAAUAUUGCACAAUGGGGGAAACCCUGAUGCAGCGACGCCGCGUGGAGGAAGAAGGUCUUCGGAUUGUAAACUCCUGUUGUUGAGGAAGAUAAUGACGGUACUCAACAAGGAAGUGACGGCUAACUACGUGCCAGCAGCCGCGGUAAAACGUAGGUCACAAGCGUUGUCCGGAAUUACUGGGUGUAAAGGAAGCGCAGGCGGGAAGACAAGUUGGAAGUGAAAUCCAUGGGCUCAACCCAUGAACUGCUUUCAAAACUGUUUUUCUUGAGUAGUGCAGAGGUAGGCGGAAUUCCCGGUGUAGCGGGAAAUGCGUAGAUAUCGGGAGGAACACCAGUGGCGAAGGCGGCCUACUGGGCACCAACUGACCCUGAGGCUCGAAAGUGUGGGUAGCAAACAGGAUUAGAUACCCUGGUAGUCCACACCGUAAACGAUGAUUACUAGGUGUUGGAGGAUUGACCCCUUCAGUGCCGCAGUUAACACAAUAAGUAAUCCACCUGGGGAGUACGACCGCAAGGUUGAAACUCAAAGGAAUUGACGGGGGCCCGCACAAGCAGUGGAGUAUGUGGUUUAAUUCGACGCAACGCGAAGAACCUUACCAAGUCUUGACAUCCCUUGACGAUGCUGGAAACAGUAUUUCUCUUCGGAGCAAGGAGACAGGUGGUGCAUGGUUGUCGUCAGCUCGUGUCGUGAGAUGUUGGGUUAAGUCCCGCAACGAGCGCAACCCUUAUGGUCAGUUACUACGCAAGAGGACUCUGGCCAGACUGCCGUUGACAAAACGGAGGAAGGUGGGGAUGACGUCAAAUCAUCAUGCCCUUUAUGACUUGGGCUACACACGUACUACAAUGGCGUUAAACAAAGAGAAGCAAGACCGCGAGGUGGAGCAAAACUCAGAAACAACGUCCCAGUUCGGACUGCAGGCUGCGACUCGCCUGCACGAAGUCGGAAUUGCUAGUAAUCGUGGAUCAGCAUGCCACGGUGAAUACGUUCCCGGGCCUUGCACACACCGCCCG
rnacentral:rRNA from 1 species